AUACGUAGGUGGCAAGCGUUGUCCGGAAUUAUUGGGCGUAAAGGGUGCGUAGGCGGUCUGUUAAGUCCAGUCUUAAAGCGUACGGCUUAACCGUAUAGAAGGACUGGAAACUGGUGGACUUGAGGAUAGGAGAGGAAAGUGGAAUUCCACGUGUAGCGGUGAAAUGCGUAGAGAUGUGGAGGAACACCAAUGGCGAAGGCAGCUUUCUGGCCUAUCACUGACGCUGAUGCACGAAAGCGUGGGUAGCAAACAGGAUUAGAUACCCUGGUAGUCCACGCCGUAAACGAUGAGUACUAAGUGUCGGGAGAACUCGGUGCUGAAGUUAACACAUUAAGUACUCCGCCUGGGAAGUACGGUCGCAAGACUGAA
rnacentral:rRNA from 1 species